UACAGAGGGGGCAAGCGUUGUUCGGAAUUACUGGGCGUAAAGCGCGCGUAGGCGGAUCACUAAGUCAGGGGUGAAAUCCCGAGGCUUAACCUCGGAACUGCCUUUGAUACUGGUGAUCUGGAGAUCGGGAGAGGUUGGUGGAAUUCCGAGUGUAGAGGUGAAAUUCGUAGAUAUUCGGAGGAACACCAGAAGCGAAGGCGGCCAACUGGCCCGAUACUGACGCUGAGGCGCGAAAGCGUGGGGAGCAAACAGG
rnacentral:rRNA from 1 species